rnacentral:rRNA from 1 species
CCUGAGAAACCCAAAAGAUCGAAUGGGGAGAUUCAUCGUCAGCUCAUUUUGUAUAUGUAUAAGUUACGAUGCGGGUUACUCUUGUAGUAUUGCCUGCACGUUCUUGUAUAUUUAGUUGCAAGAUGUUGUCGGCGUGCACUUCUCCCCUAGUAGGACGUCGCGACCCGUUGGGUGUCGGUCUACGGCCCAAGUGGGAGUCUUUAAUGUUUAAAAAUAUUAAAGACCCUUGGUGUUUCCUGACCGGCUACCCGGCGGUACUCGUACGGUAUUAAGCCGCAUUUAUAUGCGUCUAUACCCGUCGCAAGCGAGGCUAGUUUCUGAUAGUACGGACCUAGUGCCGUCGUUGGAGCUGGCCAGCUGUUGGCUGUUACGGUGUUCUAAGACUGGCUUAAACUAAUUACCGGUCGGCGAUGCUACUGCUUUGGGUACUUUCAGGACCCGUCUUGAAACACGGACCAAGGAGUCUAACAUGUGCGCGAGUCAUUGGGAUUUUUUUUAAAUUAAACCUAAAGGCGUAAUGAAAGAAAGGGUCGUUCUUGCGUCGACCGAGGGAGGAUGGGCUAUGUUAAGAUAUAGCUNCGCAUUCCCGGGGCGUCUCAUUCUNNUUAUUAUGAGAAGAGGCGCAC